rnacentral:snRNA from 1 species
GGUUUUCCCAGGGUGUUUUCCCAGGGUAAUUGUCUCUGAUAUGUCCUCCAUAGGAGGUCUAUAUUGAGCAGAUUCUUUUUGAUAUUGGGUGGUGGAACCGGAGCGUGCUCCAUCUACUCCAUGCAUUGACCUGGUAUUGCAGUGCUUCCAGGACCGGUGCAAAAAAA